GGUAGCUUAGUGGUAGAGUGCUUGCCUUGCAUGCAUGAGACCCUGGGUUCGAUUCCUCAGUACCA
rnacentral:tRNA from 1 species